CAGCAGCCGCGGUAAUACGUAGGUGGCAAGCGUUGCCCGGAAUUAUUGGGCGUAAAGGGCUCGCAGGCGGUUUCUUAAGUCUGAUGUGAAAGCCCCCGGCUCAACCGUGGAGGGUCAUUGGAAACUGGGAAACUUGAGUGCAGAAGAGGAGAGUGGAAUUCCACGUGUAGCGGUGAAAUGCGUAGAGAUGUGGAGGAACACCAGUGGCGAAGGCGACUCUCUGGUCUGUAACUGACGCUGAGGAGCGAAAGCGUGGGGAGCGAACAGGAUUAGAUACCCCUGUAGUCCCUGUCUCUUAUAC
rnacentral:rRNA from 1 species